rnacentral:lncRNA from 1 species
UUUGUUUAGGGGGGCUAGGAUGAAAUUUGAAAAAAAUAGGCAGGACAGGAGUUUUGAGUAAAAAAAAAGGCAGGAUGAGACACUUGCGAAAAAAAAAGUCAGGACAACAAUUUAGGUAAAAAAAAGUCAGGAUAAACUAAAAAAAAAAAUGCAGGACCGAACAGAGUGAAAAAUAAAAAGGCAGGGCAGAGAUUACAGCUAAAAAAAAAUGCAGGACAAAAUUUUUCAUCCUAGUCCCCCCAUAAAAAUCAAAUGGUAGCUCCCUUA